rnacentral:rRNA from 1 species
CUAAGCGUACACGGUGGAUGCCCUGGCAGUCAGAGGCGAUGAAGGACGUGCUAAUCUGCGAUAAGCGCCGGUAAGGUGAUAUGAACCGUUAUAACCGGCGAUUUCCGAAUGGGGAAACCCAGUGUGACUCGUCACACUAUCAUUAACUGAAUCCAUAGGUUAAUGAGGCGAACCGGGGGAACUGAAACAUCUAAGUACCCCGAGGAAAAGAAAUCAACCGAGAUUCACCCA